UUAUUGUGAGGCCAUGGUUAAAAGCUCCUCUCUUUCCCUUUUCGUUUUUAUGGUUAUGAAUGACUGAACAGUAGUAGUACUGGAGCAAGCUUCAAAAUGUUGAGGCUAGUAGUAGUUUUGCUGACGAAUCUAGCAGUACUGGUUUUAAGUAUUGAUAAAUUUAGUAGAGAUGACUUUCCUCCUGGUUUCAUGUUUGGGGCUUCGACCUCUGCUUAUCAGGUUGAACGUGCUGCAAACGAGGAUGGGAGGACUCCUAGCAUAUGGGAUACUUUCGCCCAAGCAGCGAAUAUGCAUGGAGCCACUGGAGACA